AGUGAACGCUGGCGGUAGGCCUAACACAUGCAAGUCGAACGGCAGCACAGUAAGAGCUUGCUCUUACGGGUGGCGAGUGGCGGACGGGGGAGGAAUACAUCGGAAUCUACUUUUUCGUGGGGGAUAACGUAGGGAAACUUACGCUAAUACCGCAUACGACCUACGGGGGAAAGCAGGGGAUCUUCGGACCUUGCGCGAUUGAAUGAGCCGAUGUCGGAUUAGCUAGUUGGCGGGGUAAAGGCCCACCAAGGCGAAGAUCCGUAGCUGGUCUGAGGGGAUGAUGCGCCACACUGGAACUGAGACACGGUCCAGACUCCUACGGGAGGCCGCAGUGGGGAAUAUUGGCCAAUGGGCGCAAGCCUGCUCCAGCCAUACCGCGUGGGUGCAGAAGGCCUUCGGGUUGUAAAGCCCUUUUGUUGGGAAAGACCAGCAGCAGGUUAAUACCCCGCUGUUCUGACGGUACCCACAGAAUAAGCACCGGCUAACUUCGUG
rnacentral:rRNA from 1 species